rfam:Ciona savignyi cont_25925, whole genome shotgun sequence.
GCCUCGUUGGCGCAGUAGGCAGCGCGUGAGUCUCAUAAUCUCAAGGUCGUGAGUUCGAUCCUCACUCGGGGCA